rnacentral:snRNA from 1 species
UUUAUGCAUAUUAAUCGAUUU